UACAGAGGUCUCAAGCGUGGUUCGGAUUCAUUGGGCGUAAAGGGUGUGUAGGUGGCGCCGUAAGUCGGGUGUGAAAUUUCGAGGCUUAACCUCGAAACUGCAUUCGAUACUGCGGUGCUUGAGGACUGGAGAGGAGACUGGAAUUCAUGGUGUAGCAGUGAAAUGCGUAGAUAUCAUGAGGAAGACCAGUGGCGAAGGCGGGUCUCUGGACAGUUCCUGACACUGAGACACGAAGGCCAGGGGAGCAAACGGG
rnacentral:rRNA from 1 species